rnacentral:rRNA from 1 species
AUUGAACGCUGGCGGCAUGCUUUACACAUGCAAGUCGAACGGUAACAGGGUGCUUGCACCGCUGACGAGUGGCGAACGGGUGAGUAAUGCAUCGGAACGUACCCAGUCGUGGGGGAUAACGUAGCGAAAGUUACGCUAAUACCGCAUACGUCCUGAGGGAGAAAGCGGGGGACCGUAAGGCCUCGCGCGAUUGGAGCGGCCGAUGUCGGAUUAGCUAGUUGGUAGGGUAAAGGCCUACCAAGGCGACGAUCCGUAGCGGGUCUGAGAGGAUGAUCCGCCACACUGGGACUGAGACACGGCCCAGACUCCUACGGGAGGCAGCAGUGGGGAAUUUUGGACAAUGGGCGAAAGCCUGAUCCAGCCAUGCCGCGUGAGUGAAGAAGGCCUUCGGGUUGUAAAGCUCUUUCAGGUGGAAAGAAAACGCAUAGGUUAAUACCUUGUGCGGAUGACGGUACCAUCAGAAGAAGCACCGGCUAACUACGUGCCAGCAGCCGCGGUAAUACGUAGGGUGCGAGCGUUAAUCGGAAUUACUGGGCGUAAAGCGUGCGCAGGCGGUUAUG